GGGUUACUGCCGAGUUUUAAAUAAGGAAACUGAGGCCAGUAUAAGAAAAUUAAAUGCCAAUUUAUUUAGCUCCUGGAUGAGGUUCCAUGGUCCUGGGGAAAGGAGCCAGGGAACUCGGGCCUUCCAGGC